rnacentral:misc_RNA from 1 species
AAGUCGUAACAAGGUUUCCGUAGGUGAACCUGCGGAAGGAUCAUUAACACGUAUCCAACGUUAAACCCCCCGUGAACUUUUAUUGCGAACCACGCCUUUGUUAGAAAGUAGCAAUCCCUGGUAAAUCAUCGCCGAACAGUUUUGAUUCAGGGAUCUCUGCGAAGAGAGCGGUUGUAGCGCGAGGUAAGUGGCCUGGCAUUCCUCUGCUUUGUUAGUGUCUGACAGUGUCACUAGCUCUGUACGAAUGGCGCAGUCACGAUCGCUAGAGGCCGACACGGCCGGCGACCGGGUCACCGGGCAUAGACCCCCCUAUCACCUUUGCAUGAAAACGGGCCUGCGCUUAAUUGUGCGGCCACCAAACUCGAACAACUGUUAACAAUGGAUAUCUUGGUUCUC